UACGUAGGGUGCGAGCGUUGUCCGGAAUUACUGGGCGUAAAGAGCUCGUAGGUGGUUUGUCGCGUUGUUCGUGAAAACUCACAGCUCAACUGUGGGCGUGCGGGCGAUACGGGCAGACUGGAGUACUGCAGGGGAGACUGGAAUUCCUGGUGUAGCGGUGGAAUGCGCAGAUAUCAGGAGGAACACCGGUGGCGAAGGCGGGUCUCUGGGCCGAUACUGACGCUGAGGCGCGAAAGCCAGGGGAGCAAACGGG
rnacentral:rRNA from 1 species